AUUGAACGCUGGCGGCAUGCCUUACACAUGCAAGUCGAACGGUAACAGGUCUUCGGAUGCUGACGAGUGGCGAACGGGUGAGUAAUACAUCGGAACGUGCCCGAUCGUGGGGGAUAACGGAGCGAAAGCUUUGCUAAUACCGCAUACGAUCUACGGAUGAAAGCAGGGGACCGCAAGGCCUUGCGCGGACGGAGCGGCCGAUGGCAGAUUAGGUAGUUGGUGGGAUAAAAGCUUACCAAGCCGACGAUCUGUAGCUGGUCUGAGAGGACGACCAGCCACACUGGGACUGAGACACGGCCCAGACUCCUACGGAGGCAGCAGUGGGGAAUUUUGGACAAUGGGCGCAAGCCUGAUCCAGCCAUGCCGCGUGCAGGAUGAAGGCCUUCGGGUUGUAAACUGCUUUUGUACGGAGCGAAAAGGCUCUCUCCAAUACAGGGGGCUCAUGACGGUACCGUAAGAAUAAGCACCGGCUAACUACGUGCCAGCAGCCGCAGUAACAC
rnacentral:rRNA from 1 species